GUACUUUGGGUGCUACAAUGGGCACCAAAAAAAACAUCUAUAACCUAUUUGGGAAUUUAUCUAACAUGGCAGACCACAAGUUUCUGUCAGGUGGAAAAAGCUCCCGAGAUCCAAGUCCCAGGCCAAAAACAAAGUCCUCGUCAGAGAGAGACAGGGACCCCACGCAGGAAAAUUGGAAUAAAGAUCAAGAGAAAGCACAGCACAAAGAUGUGGACACGUUUCCACUCAAAAAGGGAGGGAAAGAGCAGAAGGUAGAAGGUGGCAAAAGUAGGAACGGCAGACUCGUUUCAAAUAUCGAGAGGGGAGAUGAUCAUAGAGAAAAAGAGAUUUUUUUGGAGCGUGGUACGUUUCCCAGAAUGAGUAAAAAUUCCUUUGAUCCUAGAUUGAGAAUGACAUCUUCUUCUGAGAUGCAGGAGAAAAGAGAACGAAGACCCAACGACUAUCCUAAAAGAGAGGAGAUAGAAGACAACAGAGAUAAAAGAAAUCAUGAGACCGGGCCCAGAAGCAGGGAAGUGGGUAAAAACAUGGAGAGAUGGUCUUUAGAAGAUGAAAGGCUGUACCAGAGAGAGAAAUACAGAUCUAGUGGUGGAGACCUAGACAGAGCAGGAGAUGCAGGUGACUUUAGGGAAAUUAGAGAAAAAGACGCACCAAGGAAAAGAGAAAAAGCAAGAUCAGACAUGGACAGGAUGGAUCCCAGAAUGUAUAACACAGAUAGAGUAUAUGAGAGGGACAGUCAUUCUGACAGAAGAGAAAAGCCUCAAAGGAGGGAAGAAACAAAGGAUUCAAGGGGAGACAGAAACAUUGAUGAAAGACAACCGAGGCAUGAAAGAUAUAGAGAGGAUGGAGAUGGACAGAGGUACAGAAAUAAGGACACAGGGAAAGAAGAGGAUAGAACCAAGAAGAGCAGAGCUCAUAAAAACAGGAAGAUGGAAAGAUCAGCAGAUAAAGUAGAAGAAAGAUAUAGGGAAACUGAUAGAGGUCUACGAGAUGAAAUGAGAAAUGAUGAUCGUCAUAGAGAGGAAAGAAGAACCAGGGAAAGAAAGAACGGACAGGAAGGUAUGCCAGGCAAAAGGUCUGAAUGCCACUCACCUGGUGGUGGUAGAGAUAAGAGGAGGGAUACAGAAGAGGAGAGAAUGCAUAAACGACGUGGAGACAGCGAUGAGGAGAGGAAAACAAGUAGACACAGGACUGGUGAGCAGGAAAGAGGAGAAGAUAAAUGCAGGGAUCCAGAUAGAACUGAGAGAAGUCAGAGGUCUCAAAACAGAACUGAUAGAGAUGAUGGCAGAGGAACGAGAGGCAAUGCUCUUGAGCUAGGAAGGAUGUGGUUAGACCCACAGAGGGGCAAGAAUAGUAAAGAAAGUAGAGACAGAGAGAGACGCACAAGACAGAAGGAAGAGUGGAGUGAAGAGGAGACGUUGCAGGCAGUGAAAGGAAGAGACGAGCGACGGGAUAGUGGGGAACCAGAUGAGAGGUACUCCAAAACACUGGCGGGGAGAAAUGAAUUUAACAGGGGAGAACCAGAGGGAGCAUGUGUAGAUAGAGACGAGGAGAGCAAAGGCAUGAGAGGUCAGAGACGAGGGAGAGAAGACAGCUGGCAAAAAAAUGGACAGACAGAGUACACUGCAGUUAACUCAGAGGAAAGUGACAGGGAGGAAGGGGGAAAGAGGGAUUACUCUCCACACUCUAGGAACAAAGAAGGAAAUGAGGUCAGAUGGAAGGAAGAACGAGACAGAAUAUCAUCAGCAGAGGAUGGUUUUAUGACAUUAUCCAGCAGUGGAGAUGAGAUAGAGAAAGAGUUCAGAGGAUGUGGAGACGCUCACAAGGAACCCACAUCUUAUGACUCAAUGGAAUUUGAAAGUCAUGAGGAAAGGGAAGAAGAUGAGGUGAAACAAAGACGGAAAAAGAAAGGAAAUUGUUUCUUUCGUGGGAUUAGGCCAUCAGGACAAAACAGCGAGGUGUCACAGGAUGAUCAAAGAGGAGGAGCUGAUGGACAAAAUCCAAAUUUAGAAAGUCAUUGUGGUCUCAACGAUGAUGAAGCAAAUUUCCAGGAAAACAUAUUUAUUACAAAAGAGAGAUGUGAUGACAAGCAAGAAAUCAGUAACCAGUAUAUUAAAGGUGACUCUAUCCCAAUAAGGGAAGAAACGUUUACUUCAGAGGAAACAGAGGAACUGGAAAUCCAGGAUUCAUUUUCAAAACCUCAAGAAGCGGCUAAAAACAGAAUGAGGAGCAAAGGGGGACGUGUAGAAAUGAGAAAAGUUAAAAGAGACUCAAAAACUGAAAAACUCCUUAAAGCAUGGAAGGAGAAAAACAAUGAACUUGCAGGCGAAGAAAGAGGGCAACCUCCUUCUGUCCUACGUAAUCCUGGCGAUGGUUCCCAGGAGACUUUUGAACAAACUCGGCGCUUUUUGGAUCAAAUAAACAUUGAAGCAAUGAGUGAAGAACAGGUGGAGGCCAUUCGGGUUAGAAUGAGCGGAGCAUGGAGCACCGACGACCCCAAGAGGUAUUCCCAUCCACCUCACUUGAAAUGGGCUACAAGCGUGGUACGAGAAAUACUAGGGACGUCGGAGGAAAACGCAAUGGAGGAACCAACUUCAGAGACGCAAAAAGAUCAAAGUGUGACCACCGAGCUACAGGAUGAGGCUCCAGAGAGAGCUACGGAGGUGCCCGCUUUCAAAAUUUGGACUAGUACCCAGUGUUCAGAUGCAGAAGGGGAGGACUACAGCCCACCAGAGGAUUUUGGAGGUAUGGGACAAAUGCACAUGCUUUCUGACCAGCUCACAGCUGGGCCUGUUGCAACACCCACAUCCAUUCAUGCUGACACACUGAUAAACACAGGAGGAGGGGACGAUCACUUACCGGAUACAACGUCUGAGCUUUGUGGUCAAACACACUUAGAAAGGAAACGCUUGAAAAAAGUUGGGAGAGAGAACGAAAUGGACAUGUAUCUAGAUGAGAGCUAUAUGCUCUACAAACCCUAUAGCUGCCCGUCUCUAAAUUACAGUUCUGAUUUUGACCUUCUUAUUAGCACCUCUAGAGAGUAUGAGGGGUCAGAGGAUGAUUUGGGACAAGAGAAGGGUUUUGUUGUCGAGUCGGAUGAGAUUAAAGUGGAUAUUGAGCAGGAAGAAGUGUCAUCUGAGAAUGAGGGCACUUGCGGCAGUCAGAGUUUGGGUUUCAAAGCUGAUUUUCGAAGGAGGGGGAUCCGAGUAACAACUGAAAGAAGAAGUGGAACGCUUUUGCAAAUGGAGGGUGUUGCAGGGGACCACAGAACCAAAGUAUUUUCUCCAAAAGAUGAUGCAGAUGUUGCAAGCAGAAGCAUGGGAGACAUGGAGUUGAGGGCGAAUCUUCAUCCAUAUCCAAGAAAAAAAAGGAAUUCAAAAUAUUUCAGUGAGUCUGCCCAACUUCCAUUCUUUCUACAUUUGUUUUCAAUUUUUUUAAGGACACCAUUUUACCUUCAAAUAGAUAAUUCUACGUGUUCGAACAGGGUGAUGUUACACAGGAAAUCAUGGCCAAGCAUUUCCCCUCAACUGUGUGAUUCAGUUCUGUGUCACUAUUUUUUUUUUUUCCCCUCACUCACUUCACGUAAGUCCCAAACUUGA
rnacentral:lncRNA from 1 species